GCCUGACGCAGCGACGCCGCGUGAGGGAUGAAGGUCUUCGGAUCGUAAACCUCUGUCAGCAGGGAAGAACGGUCACUGUGCUAAUCAGCAGUGAAUUGACGGUACCUGCAAAGGAAGCACCGGCUAACUCCGUGCC
rnacentral:rRNA from 1 species